ACACAUGUAAUACCCGGAAUUAAGAAAUGGAUUAGCAAAACCCUAACUAGAUAAUUAUGUAUAAUUGAGGAAAUUAUAUUAUUAUAUAAUUUAAUAUAUGUGAAAUUAUAUGAAUUUUAUUAUGUUAAGACCCCGUUGGUGAGCCAGGGGCAUUUUAGUAAUUAUGACCCGAGAAGGGUAAAAUUAUGAAAUUAAUUUGAUUACGUGCUUAAUGGAACUAUAUUAUUAUAUAGUAUACCUGUGUUGUCUUUUCAGGUGUGUUCUGACAGGUUAGCGCGGUAUAGUCACAACCGGGAAUUUCGGGCCGAACCGGGUUCGGGCCCGAAAUGUAAAUUGGAUUGAUAAUUUGGCAUUUUAUUUGAUGAAUGAUAAUCUGAAAUUUAUUUGAAAUUAAUUGAGUAUUGAAAUGACUUAUUUACCCUUGUGAGGGUGUAGGUGUGAAUAAUAAGCCAUGAGGGCAUUUUGGUCAUUUCACCCCUAAUUAUUAUGUUUGAUUAAAAUUGAUUUUUGAUGAAAUGAAAAGCAAUUUUCUGGUUUUGCUUUCACUCUUGGCCGACCCCCUCUCUCUCCCAAACCCUCUUAUUAUUUCAAAAGUUGAAUUUGAAGAAAAGCUUGGUUCUUAGCUUGUUUUGGAGCUUUGAAGUUGUGAAUUCUUGGUUUGAGUUUGAGGUAGUUUUCUAUGACUUUAAUCUUGAUUUUUACUUCUGAAUUUGAGUGUUGUAAAAGCAUAAGUUUGUGCUAAUGUUCUUGAGAUUGCAUGUGUAAAGGAAUUGAAGUUAGUUUUGUUGAAUUUGAGUAUGUGAUGCUUGAAUCCUUGCUUGGGUGUUUGAUUGAGCUCUAGAUAAAUUUUUAGGGUUAUUUUCAUGUCUUGAAUUCAGAUUUUUGAAAGUGUUUGCAGCUGGAAAAUUGAUUGAGUUGGUUGAGUUGAAGCUCAAGUUUAGAGCUUGAAGUUUUGGAGUUUGAACAUAAUUUUAAGUUGAUUUUUACAAUCUGAAAUUAUGGGAUUUAUUGUUGGAUUUUGAUGCAUAAAUAUGUGUUUUAGACCCUAUAAUAUUUCCUAGCUGCUCUAAGUGGAUUAAUUGUGAUUUUGGUUGUGAAAAGCAAGCUUGAGUUCAUGGAACUCAAGCUUUGUGCUUUAAUGGCACUUUUUGAUUUUUAGUGCAAUUGUUGGGUUUAAGUUGUGGAAUAUGUUUAUUAUGACAUAUAUUGAUGCUCUGGAAAGUUUGGGAAUGUUUGGGAAUGAUUUGAGUGAGUUUUGGGGGUUUAAAGAUUGAGAAAUUUCGUGUUCUCUGCCCAGACAACCGGAAUUCCGGUUGGUUCAUCCGGAAUUCCGGUUGGAGUUCAUCGGGAAAUGCUGAAAUUUGUUUUGGCCAUAACUUUUGACUCGGGACUCCGUUUGGGACGUUCUUUAUACCGUUGGAAAGCUCUUUUCGAGCUCUAUGUGAUUAUCUGUAUUUGAAAUGCCAUGAAUUUAUUUUAUGAAUGUGAAAUCAGGGGUUAACCCUAUUUGUGAAAAUCCCGGAUUGUGUGUGACUAGGAUUACCGGCACCUGGUCAGGAGCACCCGGGGAUUUGGAAUCUCUACUAUUGCGGGACAACAGGAAAGGGUAAGGCAUUAGCUGAUCAGCCAUGAGUUUCAGGAGCAGGGCGAAGAAUGUACAUGUUCAUGCCACUUCAGACCAAGCGGGUUAUGGGUCUAACAGUGUUGACUUUUGUAUUCUGUUUUGCCGCUUAGGUCGGCUAGUAAGAAAGAACUUGUAAUAAGUUUGUAAAUGUUUUUGGGAUCCCAACUAUUUUGAAAAGUUUAAAUAUAUUACAAGUUUAUUUUCA